CCCUUUUGCCCGAGAACACACCGCCCCCGCCUGUCCGCCUCCACUCCGCCCUUCUGCUGCUGAGGCUGAGGCUGCAGCUUCGGGAGGCCCGCUUGGAAGCCGUCUGGGUUUCCCGGACAAGCCGGCGGGCUGGGGAGGCUCCCUCGGAAAGAAAAAGAGCACAGAUCAAUAAUUCUGGACAAAGAAUGCUGUUUAAGCCAUGCAGAAGAAUGUAGAUGUUCAUUGAAGAAAUUAGAAGACAUUUCAUUUUACAUCUCUAAUGACUCUGUGAUCUGUAACUCCAUUAAAUAUUUCUUCUAUAUCAAUGUAAUUAAUGAAAAUGUUGAAGGGGUUGAAUCUUACAAAAUAACAUUUAAUACAUCACCACUUUGAUGAGAAACUGUUGACAAACGUGAUUUGAAGCCAACUCUGUAUCCAUUUGUCACGUCAUAUGGUAUAUACUUAACUAGUUUACUAAUCAUAAUGUCACAAGUUACUGUAGUUUUAAAAUGCUUUUUGCAAAUGAAAUAUUGUACAUUUAUAUCAUUCCCCAAUCUAAAUUUCUUAAUUGUGUUAAAUAAAUUUAUUUUGAUCUGUU